CAGUCGCCACGGUAACACGUAGGUGGCAAGCGUUGUCCGGAAUUAUUGGGCGUAAAGGGCUCGCAGGCGGUUUCUUAAGUCUGAUGUGAAAGCCCCCGGCUCAACCGGGGAGGGUCAUUGGAAACUGGGAAACUUGAGUGCAGAAGAGGAGAGUGGAAUUCCACGUGUAGCGGUGAAAUGCGUAGAGAUGUGGAGGAACACCAGUGGCGAAGGCGACUCUCUGUCUGUAACUGACGCUGAGGAGCGAAAGCGUGGGGAGCGAACAGGAUUAGAUACCCGAGUAGUCCCUGUCUCUUAUACA
rnacentral:rRNA from 1 species